AUGCCUUAAACUUAUGAGUAAGGAAAAUAACCCUUCGGGGUGAUGCCCAAAUCCUCACUACUAAUGUGAGAUGAAUUUCUGAGUGGGUAAAGUUUGCCCCUAAGGUGACCUGCCUAUUUUGCGGGAUGCCUGGGAGUUGCAAUUUGCCUG
ensembl:snRNA U12 U12 minor spliceosomal RNA